rnacentral:rRNA from 1 species
CCUACGGGUGGCAGCAGUGGGGAAUAUUGCACAAUGGGGGAAACCCUGAUGCAGCGACGCCGCGUGAGUGAAGAAGUAUUUCGGUAUGUAAAGCUCUAUCAGCAGGGAAGAAAAUGACGGUACCUGACUAAGAAGCCCCGGCUAACUACGUGCCAGCAGCCGCGGUAAUACGUAGGGGGCAAGCGUUAUCCGGAUUUACUGGGUGUAAAGGGAGCGUAGACGGCCAGACAAGUCAGAAGUGAAAGCCCAGGGCGCAACCCUGGGACUGCUUUUGAAACUGCAGGGCUGGAGUGCAGGAGAGGUAAGCGGAAUUCCUAGUGUAGCGGUGAAAUGCGUAGAUAUUAGGAGGAACACCAGUGGCGAAGGCGGCUUACUGGACUGUAACUGACGUUGAGGCUCGAAAGUGUGGGGAGCGAACAGGAUUAGAUACCCGAGUAGUC